AUUAAGAGCUGUAUAAGGUGCUUAGCAACAAGCCUGCUACACAGUAGGUGUUAAAUAUGCACUCACUGGAAUUCUCAUUCACACGCUUCAGUCUCACGAGCACCCACCAAGGCUCUGCUGCAGGCCUGGGUGCCUGGAGACCCUCACUCAAGACAAGUCACCUGGGGGUGGCCAUCUGGCCCAGUGAUUGACACCUGCAUGCUCUACCUGUAUGUCUAGGCUAAAUUCUUGGCUCUGCUCCUGACUCCAACUUCUGCUCAGACACUAGGAGGCUGUGGUUGUGGCUCAACUGAUUGGCUUCUAAACAUUUAUGCAGGAGGCCUGGAUCCACUGCAGCUGCUGUCCUUCCCAUCCAGCUCCCUGCUAACAUGCCUG